rnacentral:tRNA from 1 species
CGGGUUCUCGUCCAACGGUAGGACGGCGGGUCGCGCCCGUUAUUGCAGGUUCGAGUCCUGUAUGCCCGACAA